UACGAAGGGGGCUAGCGUUGCUCGGAAUCACUGGGCGUAAAGCGCACGUAGGCGGAUUGCUAAGUCAGGGGUGAAAUCCUGGAGCUCAACUCCAGAACUGCCUUUGAUACUGGAAGAUCUGAGUUCGGGAGAGGUGAGUGGAACUGCGAGUGUAGAGGUGAAAUUCGUAGAUAUUCGCAAGAACACCAGUGGCGAAGGCGGCUCACUGGCCCGGUACUGACGCUGAGGUGCGAAAGCGUGGGGAGCAAACAGG
rnacentral:rRNA from 1 species